CGCCGCGAGCCGGAAUCUGAAGGAAGUCCAUAGCAAAGCAUUGGCCCGACGAACAGGAAGCCGAUAAUAGGCAUGAGACAUGGAUGAGAUGGCCACAAUCAUCAAAGUCCGAAACCUGUCCGGAAACGUUUCAUGUAGAUCGGACGGGCAUAAAUGUGAAAGUC
rnacentral:ncRNA from 1 species